ACGGGUGAGUAAUACAUCGGAACGUGCCCGAUCGUGGGGGAUAACGGAGCGAAAGCUUUGCUAAUACCGCAUACGAUCUACGGAUGAAAGCAGGGGACCGCAAGGCCUUGCGCGGACGGAGCGGCCGAUGGCAGAUUAGGUAGUUGGUGGGAUAAAAGCUUACCAAGCCGACGAUCUGUAGCUGGUCUGAGAGGACGACCAGCCACACUGGGACUGAGACACGGCCCAGACUCCUACGGGAGGCAGCAGUGGGGGAUUUUGGACAAUGGGCGAAAGCCUGAUCCAGCCAUGCCGCGUGCAGGAUGAAGGCCUUCGGGUUGUAAACUGCUUUUGUACGGAGCGAAAAGCCUCUUUCUAAUAAAGAGAGGUCAUGACGGUACCGUAAGAAUAAGCACCGGCUAACUACGUGCCAGCAGCCGCGGUAAUACGUAGGGUGCGAGCGUUAAUCGGAAUUACUGGGCGUAAAGCGUGCGCAGGCGGUGAUGUAAGACAGAUGUGAAAUCCCCGGGCUCAACCUGGGAACUGCAUUUGUGACUGCAUCGCUGGAGUGCGGCAGAGGGGGAUGGAAUUCCGCGUGUAGCAGUG
rnacentral:rRNA from 1 species